rnacentral:rRNA from 1 species
AUUGAACGCUGGCGGCAGUCUUAACACAUGCAAGUCGAGCGAGCGGCGGACGGGUGAGUAAUGUCUGGGAAACUGCCUGAUGGCGGGGGAUAACUACUGGAAAAGGUAGCUAAUAACGCAUACCAUCGGAUGUGCCCAGAUGGGAUUAGCUAGUAGGUGGGGUAAAGGCUCACCUAGGCGACGAUCCCUAGCUGGUCUGAGAGGAUGACCAGCCACACUGGAACGGAGACACGGUCCGAACUCCUACGGGAGGCAGCAGUGGGGAAUAUUGCACAAUGGGCGCAAGCCUGAUGCAGCCAUGCCGCGUGUAUGAAGAAGGCCUUCGGGUUGUAAAGUACGUUCAGCGGGGAGGCGUUACUCGCAGAAGAAGCACCGGCUAACUCCGUGCCAGCCGCCGCGGUAAUAC